UACGAAGGGUGCAAGCGUUACUCGGAAUUACUGGGCGUAAAGCGUGCGUAGGUGGUUUGUUAAGUCUGUUGUGAAAGCCCCGGGCUCAACCUGGGAAUGGCAAUGGAUACUGGCAAGCUAGAGUGCGGUAGAGGGUAGUGGAAUUCCCGGUGUAGCGGUGAAAUGCGUAGAGAUCGGGAGGAACACCAGUGGUGAAGGCGGCUACCUGGAUGAGUAUUGACACUGAGGCUCGAAAGCGUGGGAUCAAACAGG
rnacentral:rRNA from 1 species